rnacentral:rRNA from 1 species
UGUUCGUUAUUUAGGGCGCAUGGUGGAUGCCUUGGCAUGCUGAGCCGAUGAAGGACGUGUAAGGCUGCGUUAAGCCUCGGGGAGUUGUCAAUAAAGCGUUGAUCCGAGGAUGU